rnacentral:tRNA from 1 species
UCCGGUGUAGCUCAGCGGUAGAGCAGCGGACUGUUAAUCCGUUGGUCGCUGGUUCGAUCCCAGCCACCGGAG